UCGAAAGUAUCCAACAAAGAAUCAGAUUCGA
rnacentral:piRNA from 1 species